rnacentral:tRNA from 1 species
UUCCGGUUCGGGCCCGGGUCCGGGUUCCGGUUCGGGCUCGGGGUCGGUCAUGGGGCCGGUCGCGGUGUCGGGUUCGGGUUCCGGUUCGGGGCC